UCGAGCGGAUCCUCGUGUUUCCUCCGGGAAACACUGGGGUUAGCGGCGGACGGGUGAGUAACACGUAGGCAACCUGCCUGUAAGACCGGGAUAACUACCGGAAACGGUAGCUAAGACCGGAUAAUUGGUUUCCCCGCAUGGGGGAAUCAUGAAACAUGGGGCAACCUAUGGCUUACGGAUGGGCCUGCGGCGCAUUAGCUAGUUGGUGGGGUAACGGCCUACCAAGGCGACGAUGCGUAGCCGACCUGAGAGGGUGAACGGCCACACUGGGACUGAGACACGGCCCAGACUCCUACGGGAGGCAGCAGUGGG
rnacentral:sRNA from 1 species